rnacentral:rRNA from 1 species
UUCGCCAGGGAACAACGAGCCCCAGCUUAAAACCCAAAGGACUUGGCGGUGCUUUAGACCCCCCUAGAGGAGCCUGUUCUAGAACCGAUACUCCCCGUUCAACCUCACCCUCCCUUGUUUACCCCGCCUAUAUACCGCCGUCGUCAGCCUACCCUGUGAAGGACUAAUAGUAAGCAAAAUUGGCAAAGCCCAAAACGUCAGGUCGAGGUGUAGCGCACGGGAGGGGAAGAAAUGGGCUACAUUUACUGAGCCAGUAAACACGAAUGCUGCACUGAAACAAGCGUCUGAAGGAGGAUUUAGCAGUAAGGAGGGAAUAGAGCGCCCCCCUGAAAACGGCCCUGAAGCGCGCACACACCGCCCGUCACUCUCCCCAAAAAACGCAACUAAUAAAUAAUAAAAAAGACACCACAAGGGGAGGCAAGUCGUAACAUGGUAAGUGUACCGGAAGGUGUACUUGGAAAAACC